ACCUUGGUCUGUGCAGCGCGGACCAACCCAAAUCGCCAGGAAGGAGGGGCGUGGCUUGAAGUCCCCUCCUCCAUCCCCGGGAUCACGUUUUGCCGGGGGGGAGCUGAUCGCAAGACUAGGCAACCUCCAGCCAGUCCCUGGGUCGGGCGGAUCCUCCCAGAGGUGGCACAAUGGAGCGAUCUCCAGGAGAGGGCCCCAGCCCCAGCCCCAUGGACCAGCCCUCUGCUCCCUCAGACCCCACUGACCAGCCUCCCGCUGGUCACGCAAAGCCAGACCCAGGUUCUGGGGGCCAACCUGCUGGCCCUGGCGCGGCGGGUGAGGCCCUGGCAGUGCUGACUUCAUUCGGGAGGCGGUUGCUGGUGCUGAUACCUGUGUAUUUGGCCGGGGCAGUGGGACUCAGCGUGGGUUUCGUGCUCUUCGGCCUCGCCCUCUACCUGGGCUGGCGCCGGGUCCGCGACGAGAAAGAACGGAGCCUUCGAGCAGCGAGGCAGCUACUGGACGACGAGGAGCAGCUCACGGCGAAAACUCUUUAUAUGAGUCAUCGAGAGCUACCUGCCUGGGUCAGCUUCCCAGACGUGGAAAAGGCUGAAUGGCUCAAUAAGAUUGUGGCCCAGGUCUGGCCCUUCCUGGGCCAGUAUAUGGAGAAGCUUCUGGCUGAAACUGUGGCUCCCGCUGUUAGGGGAUCUAACCCCCAUCUGCAAACAUUUACAUUUACACGAGUGGAACUGGGCGAAAAGCCAUUGCGCAUCAUUGGAGUCAAGGUUCACCCAGGUCAGAGAAAAGAACAGAUCCUGCUGGACUUGAACAUCAGCUAUGUAGGUGAUGUGCAGAUUGAUGUGGAAGUGAAGAAAUAUUUUUGCAAAGCAGGAGUCAAGGGCAUGCAGCUACAUGGCGUUUUGCGGGUGAUUCUGGAGCCACUCAUUGGGGACCUUCCCAUCGUGGGGGCUGUGUCAAUGUUCUUCAUCCGACGCCCGACCCUAGACAUCAACUGGACAGGGAUGACCAACCUGCUGGAUAUCCCAGGACUUAGCUCACUCUCUGACACCAUGAUCAUGGACUCCAUUGCUGCCUUCCUCGUGUUGCCCAACCGAUUACUGGUGCCCCUUGUGCCUGACCUUCAAGAUGUGGCUCAGUUGCGUUCCCCUUUGCCCAGGGGCAUUAUUCGAAUUCACCUGCUGGCUGCUCGAGGGCUGAGUUCCAAGGACAAAUAUGUGAAGGGCCUGAUUGAGGGCAAGUCAGACCCAUAUGCACUUGUGCGUUUGGGUACCCAGACAUUCUGCAGUCGUGUCAUUGAUGAAGAACUCAACCCACAGUGGGGAGAGACUUAUGAGGUGAUGGUACACGAGGUCCCAGGGCAGGAGAUUGAAGUGGAGGUGUUCGACAAGGAUCCAGAUAAAGAUGACUUUCUGGGCAGAAUGAAGCUGGAUGUAGGGAAGGUGUUACAGGCUGGCAUUCUGGAUGAUUGGUUCCCUCUACAAGGUGGGCAAGGCCAAGUUCACUUGAGGCUAGAAUGGCUGUCACUUCUGUCAGAUGCAGAGAAACUGGAGCAGGUUCUACAGUGGAAUCGGGGAGUCUCCUCUCGACCAGAGCCCCCGUCAGCUGCCAUCUUAGUUAUCUACCUGGAUCGGGCCCAGGAUCUUCCUAUGGUGACCUCUGAAUUGUACCCACCACAGCUGAAGAAGGGGAACAAGGAACCCAACCCUAUGGUACAACUGUCAAUUCAGGAUGUGACUCAGGAGAGCAAGGCUGUCUACAGUACCAACUGCCCAGUGUGGGAGGAAGCGUUCCGGUUCUUCCUACAAGACCCUCAAAGCCAGGAGCUCGAUGUGCAAGUGAAGGAUGAUUCCAGGGCCCUGACUUUAGGAGCACUGACACUGCCUCUGGCCCGCCUACUGACUGCCCCAGAACUCAUCCUGGACCAGUGGUUCCAGCUCAGCAGCUCUGGCCCAAACUCCAGACUCUACAUGAAACUAGUCAUGAGGAUCCUGUACUUGGAUUCAUCAGAAAUAUGCUUCUCCACUAUGCCUGGUUAUCCUGGUGCUUGGGACGUGGACAGUGAGAAUCCCCAGAGAGGCAGCAGUGUGGAUGCCCCACCUCGACCCUGUCACACGACUCCUGAUAGCCAGUUUGGGACUGAGCAUGUGCUUCGGAUCCAUGUAUUAGAGGCCCAGGACCUGAUUGCCAAAGACCGUUUCUUGGGGGGAUUGGUGAAGGGCAAGUCAGACCCCUAUGUCAAACUAAAGCUGGCAGGACGAAGCUUUCGGAGCCAUGUUGUUCGGGAAGAUCUCAAUCCCCGCUGGAAUGAGGUUUUUGAGGUGAUUGUCACAUCAGUUCCAGGCCAAGAGCUAGAAGUUGAAGUCUUUGACAAGGACUUGGACAAGGAUGAUUUUCUGGGCAGGUAUAAAGUCAGUCUCACCACAGUCUUAAACAGUGGCUUCCUUGAUGAGUGGCUGACCCUGGAGGAUGUCCCAUCUGGCCGCCUGCACUUGCGCCUGGAGCGUCUCACCCCCCGUCCCACUGCUGCUGAGUUAGAGGAGGUGCUGCAGGUGAAUAGUUUGAUCCAGACUCAGAAGAGUGCAGAGCUGGCCGUGGCCCUGCUAUCCAUCUAUAUGGAGAGGGCAGAGGACCUGCCGCUGCAAAAAGGCACCAAGCAACCCAGCCCUUAUGCUACUCUCACUGUGGGAGAUACUUCUCAUAAAACCAAGACUAUUUCGCAAACUUCAGCCCCUGUCUGGGAUGAGAGUGCCUCCUUUCUCGUCAGGAAACCACACACUGAGAGCCUAGAGUUGCAGGUUCGGGGUGAGGGCACUGGCGUGCUGGGCUCAUUAUCCCUGCCCCUCUCAGAGCUCCUCGUGGCUGACCAGCUCUGCUUGGACCGCUGGUUUACACUCAGCAGUGGUCAGGGGCAGGUGCUACUGAGAGCACAGCUAGGGAUCCUGGUGUCCCAGCACUCGGGAGUGGAAGCUCAUAGCCACAGCUACAGCCACAGCUCCUCAUCUCUGAGUGAAGAACCAGAGCUCUCGGGGGGACCCCCUCACUUCACCUCCUCAGCCCCAGAGCUCCGGCAGCGCCUAACACAUGUUGACAGUCCCCUUGAGGCUCCAGCCAGGCCUCUGGGCCAGGUGAAACUGACUGUGUGGUACUACAGUGAAGAACGAAAGCUGGUCAGCAUUGUUCAUGGUUGCCGGGCCCUUCGACAGAAUGGACGCGAUCCUCCUGAUCCCUAUGUGUCACUGUUGCUGCUGCCAGACAAGAACCGAGGCACCAAGAGGAAGACCUCACAGAAGAAGAGGACCCUGAGUCCUGAAUUUAAUGAACGGUUUGAGUGGGAACUCCCCCUGGAUGAGGCCCAGAGACGAAAGCUGGAUGUCUCUGUCAAGUCUAAUUCCUCCUUCAUGUCAAGAGAGCGUGAGCUGCUGGGGAAGGUAAGGGGGCAGGAUGGCAGGACAGAGGUGAGGGCUGGAAGCUGCUGGUACCAAGGUUAUAGUCCCUGUGAGGAAGUAAGUACCCCAUGUGAUCCUUUAGAGGUGACUCUUUCACCUUUGCAAUGGUUUGGGACGAGUAUGUGAUGAAGGAACAUGGUCUUUGGAGAUUUCAAAACAGCAUCAUCAGAAUGAGAUCCUGUCUCAAAAAAUAAAAAAAUAACAUCUUUCCCCCAUCAUCCUCCAACACAGGUGCAGCUGGACCUAGCUGAGACAGACCUUUCCCAGGGUGUAGCCCGGUGGUAUGACCUGAUGGACGACAAGGACAAGGGCAGCUCCUAGGAGCUGGCGAGUCCCAGCCUGACUCUGCUCUGUCUUCCUGCCUUCGUCUCGCGCCAACACUGCUUCAAUAUGAUGAGCCUAAAGCUAGGGUCCAAGGGCAGAGCCUGUGCCCUUCAGCCCUUUCACCUAACAGGCCCAUAUUCGGGCCUUUGCCUGACCAAAGAGAAGAACCCUAUGUUCCCUUUACUGCACAGCCUUUAUCCUUCUGGGCCCCUGGGGUGGGGACCUGAGCUGGCUGUUUCCUGCUCUGCCUGCACAUUGUUCUCCCUUCCUCCCAACUCCUCAGGGCCUUCUGUAUCUGUGCCUGGCCACUGGCAGCACUAGCAGUGGUAUUAGCUUAUGCCAAAUACAGCUUUGGAAGGAUCUUUUUUUCUUUAACUAGAUGGUCACCUUCUUCCCUACCACACAUGGGUGGGAGGGUGGACAGGCUAACCUCUCCAGCUGUGAGCCUCUUAGACUACUGCAUGUAGCAAAUGUUCAGCAGCUCAGGCCCCCAUGUCCAGUUCUGUCCCCACUUUCUUCAACCCUGUCCUGAAAAUUCUACUGCUCUGAUGGCUGGGGCCAGUCUCUUGUCACUUUGGAAACUGGGGACACUUGGAUUCUACCCAAGCCUCCAAGUAGUGGCAUAUCAGUCUUGGAGCUCCUAGCUGGUGAUACGGAGAGGGCUUUGGAGGACUUGGGACAGCAGGGCCAAUUUUUUUGCCCAAGUGCCUAGGCUGCUAACUCACUGACUAGAACUUAAUCUGGUACUCUUUAGUUUUGCACCAACUCUGCCAAGCCACUGUAUCUUACAUUAAACAUCAUACUCAAACCA